rnacentral:rRNA from 1 species
CCUACGGGAGGCAGCAGUGAGGAAUAUUGGUCAAUGGGCGGACGCCUGAACCAGCCAAGUCGCGUGCGGGAUGACGGCCCUACGGGUCGUAAACCGCUUUUGCACGGGGAUAACACCCUCCACUUGUGGCGGUCUGCAGGUACCGUGCGAAUAAGGGCUGGCCAAUUCCGGGCCAACAGCCCCGGUAAUACGGAAGGCCCGAGGGUUAUCCGGAUUCAUUGGGCUUAAAGGGGGCGUAGGGGGGCGGUCAAGUCAGCGGUAAAAUCGCGCGGCUCAACCGCGCCCCGCCGUUGAAACUGGACGCCUUGAGUGCACAACAGGCAGGCGGAAUGCGUGGUGUAGCGGUGAAAUGCAUAGAUAUCACGAGGAACCCCGAUUGCGAAGGCAGCCUGCCGGGGUGCGACUGACGCUGAGGCUCGAAGGUGCGGGUAUCAAACAGGAUUAGAUACCCUGGUAGUC